AAACUGAAGAGUUUGAUCAUGGCUCAGAUUGAACGCUGGCGGUAUGCUUAACACAUGCAAGUCGAACGGUAACAGGCUAGCUUGCUAGCGCUGACGAGUGGCGGACGGG
rnacentral:rRNA from 1 species